rnacentral:tRNA from 1 species
GCCGGGGUAGCUCAGGGGUAGAGCAACGCACUCGUAAUGCGUAGGCCGGGGGUUCAAAUCCCCCCUCCGGCUCCA